rnacentral:rRNA from 1 species
GACGAACCGUGCGAACGUUGUUCGGAAUCACUGGGCUUAAAGGGCGCGUAGGCGGGCCGCCGCGUCCGGGGUGAAAUCCCCCCGCUCAACGGGGGAACGGCCUCGGAUACGGGCGGUCUGGAGGCGGGUAGGGGCACGCGGAACUGUGGGUGGAGCGGUGAAAUGCGUUGAGAUCCACAGGAACUCCGGUGGCGAAGGCGGCGUGCUGGACCCCGAUCUGACGCUGAGGCGCGAAAGCCAGGGGAGCGAACGGG